rnacentral:rRNA from 1 species
GACGAACGCUGGCGGCGUGCUUAACACAUGCAAGUCGAACGGAAAGGCCCCUUUGGGGGUACUCGAGUGGCGAACGGGUGAGUAACACGUGAGUAACCUGCCCUUGACUUCGGGAUAACUUCAGGAAACUGGGGCUAAUACCGGAUAGGAAUCCUUGCUGCAUGGUGGGGGUUGGAAAGCUUCGGCGGUUUUGGAUGGACUCGCGGCUUAUCAGCUUGUUGGUGGGGUAGUGGCUUACCAAGGCUUUGACGGGUAGCCGGCCUGAGAGGGCGACCGGCCACAUUGGGACUGAGAUACGGCCCAGACUCCUACGGGAGGCAGCAGUGGGGAAUAUUGCACAAUGGGCGGAAGCCUGAUGCAGCAACGCCGCGUGCGGGAUGACGGCCUUCGGGUUGGAAACCGCUUUCAGCAGGGGCGAAGCUGGUGGUGACGGUACCUGCAGAAGAAGCACCGGCUAACUACGUG